rnacentral:rRNA from 1 species
GAUCUGGCUCAGAACGAACGCUGGCGGCAUGGAUUAGGCAUGCAAGUCGAACGCCGAUAGCAAUAUCGGAGUGGCGCAAGGGUGAGGAACACGUGAGUAAUCUGCCCUCGAGUUGGGAAUAGCUCCGGGAAACUGGAAUUAAUACCGAAUAAUAUUGCGGGACCGCAUGGUCCUGCACUUAAAGCAGCAAUGCGCUCGAGGAGGAGCUCGCGUCCCAUUAGCUAGUUGGUGAGGUAACGGCCCACCAAGGCCAUGAUGGGUAGCUGGUCUGAGAGGACGAUCAGCCACAGUGGGACUGAGAACUGCCCACACUCCUACGGGAGGCUGCAGUCGAGAAUUUUGGGCAAUGGGCGAAAGCCUGAACCCCCAGCAAUGCCGCGUGCGGGAUGAAGGUCUUCGGAUUGUAAACCGCUGUCAAGAGGGACGAAAUUUGACGGUACCUCUGAAGGAAGCCACGACUAACUACGUGCCAGCCGCCGC